UCCCUGGUGGCUCAGAUGGUAAAGCAUCUACCUGCAAUGCGGGAGACCCAGGUUUAAUUCCUGGGUCGGGAA
rnacentral:tRNA from 1 species